GCCGGGCGUGGUGGCGCGCGCCUGUAGUUCCAGCUACUCGGGAGGCUGAGGCAGGAGGAUCGCUUGAGCCCAGGAGAUGUGGGCUGCAGUGCGCUAUGCCGAUCGGGUGUCCGCACUAAGUUCGGCAUCAAUAUGGUGACCUCCCAGGAGCGCGGGGGGGCCACCAGAUUGCCUAAGGAGGGGUGAACCAGCCCAGGUCGGAAACGGAGCAGGUCAAAACUUACAGGAGACCCAGUAGUUGUUUCCUCUGAAGGAAGUGGUGUUUCAGAGAUCAAUCAUUCAGGGACACAACAAAGCAGCAGGCUUUAA
rnacentral:SRP_RNA from 1 species